rnacentral:misc_RNA from 1 species
GACCAAGUAAUGGUACCCUUAAUGGUGGGCUUGGAUUAGGUUCAAGCAAUGAAAUUUUGCCUUCAGCAGAGGGUGGUGAAUUUUCAAGACCAACUGCAUCCACAAAUGGGUUGACAACAGAAGGUGUUAGAAAUCACAGAUGUAAUGGUGAAUCUGCUGCACAAUUUAAAAUUGAAAGAGAAGAAGGUGAAUUAUCUCCAAAUGGGGAUUUUGAGGAGGAUAAUUUUGCAGCUUAUGGAGAAGGUGGUUUAGAGGCUGUGCAUAAGGCAAAGGAAAGUGCUGUAAGUAGGCAGUACCAAACAAGACAUGGAGAAGAAGAAACAUGUGGGGCGGCAGGAG